GCCACGCUAGGUGAUGCUCUCGAUCGCCGUCUGCGUCUUUGUCUCUCUCUACUUUCUGAAAUUCGCACUCAUUCCAUCUACGACACUACGACUAUUUCGCAAACCGCAUCUUUACUUUGCAUAAUACAACCUUUUCAAAAGGGAAAUCACAACAUGAUAAUUCCUGAACGUUGGCGCGCAUGAAUAUUCUUUUCUCUUCUUCAAACUAAACCAUGGGUAUUCUUUCAGAUUGCCUUCUUCGUAACGUCCUACUGACAUGCAUGGAUAGCUACGCAUUUCUUGCUUGAUAUACACUAGUCAUCUAAACUUAGCUUGGUAAUCGGUAUACCAGUCUACACAGUACUGUGUACGAGGCACAGUACUGUAGUGCACUGAUAUACUCCAUAAUAUAAGCCCCGCUAAGCUCACGUACGUAGGAUUGGGUCAGUAAACAGUUAGUGUCAACUUCGAAAUAACCGGAAAAGAAUCAACAAGUGGAUCUCAUAAUCUAAUUCGUUGACUAAUAUAGUAUAAGCAGAUAGAAAAAUGAUUACCAGUGGUUGUUGGUGACAUGGUGCGCAUGUGCAGAUCGAUGUGCCAUUGGCUAGAAUACACACAGGUGGAAACAUAGAGUAGUUAUCCCCAAAAGCAAAGCACUUAAAAUCUUCGGCAAUGGUUGUUUGGCUUAAAUGGUGGUAGCAUCACAUCACACAGUGGACGUACUUAAUUUUGCACAUGUCCGUGCUACGUGCUCCAUGCCAUGCUCCACUGCUACAUAAAUACACCGCACUUACACAUCCACAAAUACCUGCUCUAUUUUUUUAGGCUGUGUGUUUAGUUCAGCGCAAAGUUUGGAUUUUAGUUGAAAUUAGAGAUGAUGUGACUGAAAAGUUGUGUAUGUAUAACAGGUUGAUAUGAUGGAAAAGGACUGAAGUUUGGAUCCAAACUUUAGAUCUAAACACAGCCUUAUUUAACAAACACAUGCUCUGUUGUUGGACUAUAGAUACAUUCCUAGCCUCAUUGAAAACGCACCUACGUAUACUUAACAUUUAGGAGUAUCGGGAUUUGAGUUUUUUUUAUACUCCCUCUGGGUUGAUAAUACUUGUCGUUUUGGAUAAGGGCACGGUCUCCAAAAAACAACUUUAACUAUUAUUUUCUAUUAUAAUAUGUAUAAAAGUGUUAACAAAUAUAUGAUUUUAUUAAAGUACUUUUUAAGACUAAUCUAUAUAUAUGUAGUCACCAUAUUUAAAAGACAAAUAUUUUAAAAAUGAUUCAUAAUCAAAGACUCUAAAGUUUGACCUCACCCUUGCCUAAAACGACAAGUAUUAUCAGCCCGGAGGGAGUAUCAUGGUUUACUCGUAGUAAUUAUUUUCUGAUUUUUUUAGUAAUUUUAGAUCUUAGGCAUCGUAAUUUGAAUCCUUUAGAGGGUGGGCAUCAUAAUUUAAAUUUCUUAGAUUAUAUACUUUUCUAAUUUAUUAUUAAUUAUUUUCAAACCUUCUAGAUGGUGGUUUCACCCACAUUUCAAUUUUUUUUUAAAUCAUCGGAGGGGAGAGUCGUGUUCCCACCUGAUUUUUCCAUGGCAAAGAGAGUUUCCCCACGUUUCAGCUUUUAAUGCGUGGAUUUUAGGGACCGAUCACUUUGAUGAAAAAAAAACAUACCAAAUUAUGGCAAUGCCAAAAUUUUGGCAUAGUUGUCAAAAUUUUGGUGACAUGACAAAAUUUUGGCAGAAUUUCUUAUAUAGUUACCAAAAUUUGACAGCAAACUAAUGUAUCUAAUUUUUUUUUUGACAACUUUAUUAAAACUUGGUAAAGUUAAAAAUGGUAUCUAAGUAAAAAAAAGCCCUUAAUUCAGUAACCAUAGCAGCAGGACAGAAAGCUGUCAAGGCAUCCAUUGGUACAUAAUUUUCUUGCAACACAGUUACUAGGAGUACAUAACAGUGCUGAAACUGCACCACAGGCGAUAAAGCAAUGACAUUCUUCGGUAUCGCCUUCACUCGUCCUAAUUGUUUUUUUUUUUCGAACGAAACGAUUUUCAU
rnacentral:lncRNA from 1 species